UACAGAGGGUGCGAGCGUUGUUCGGAAUUAUUGGGCGUAAAGGGCGCGUAGGUGGUUCGGUAAGUCGGAUGUGAAAUCUCCAGGCUCAACCUGGAGGGGUCAUUCGAUACUGCCGUGACUAGAGUUCGGUAGGGGAGUGUGGAAUUCCUGGUGGAGCGGUGAAAUGCGCAGAUAUCAGGAGGAACACCCGUAGCGAAGGCGGCACUCUGGGCCGAUACUGACACUGAGGAGCGAAAGCGUGGGGAGCGAACAGG
rnacentral:rRNA from 1 species